GUGGGGAAUAUUGGACAAUGGGCGAAAGCCUGAUCCAGCCAUGCCGCGUGUGUGAAGAAGGUCUUCGGAUUGUAAAGCACUUUAAGUUGGGAGGAAGGGCAGUAAGUUAAUACCUUGCUGUUUUGACGUUACCGACAGAAUAAGCACCGGCUAACUUCGUGCCAGCAGCCGCGGUAAUACGAAGGGUGCAAGCGUUAAUCGGAAUUACUGGGCGUAAAGCGCGCGUAGGUGGUUUUGUAAGUUGGAGGUGAAAUCCCCGGGCUCAACCUGGGAACUGCCUCCAAAACUGCAUGACUAGAGUACGGUAGAGGGUAGUGGAAUUUCCUGUGUAGCGGUGAAAUGCGUAGAUAUAGGAAGGAACACCAGUGGCGAAGGCGACUACCUGGACUGAUACUGACACUGAGGUGCGAAAGCGUGGGCAGCAAACAGGAUUAGAAACCCUAGUAGUCC
rnacentral:rRNA from 1 species